UAGUCCACGCUGUAAACGAUGUCUACUUGGAGGUUGUUGUCUUGAAUGAUGGCUUUCGGAGCUAACGCGUUAAGUAGACCGCCUGGGGAGUACGGCCGCAAGGUUAAAACUCAAAUGAAUUGACGGGGGCCCGCACAAGCGGUGGAGCAUGUGGUUUAAUUCGAUGCAACGCGAAGAACCUUACCUACUCUUGACAUCUACAGAAGCCAGCGGAGACGCAGGUGUGCCUUCGGGAACUGUAAGACAGGCGCUGCAUGGCUGUCGUCAGCUCGUGUUGUGAAAUGUUGGGUUAAGUCCCGCAACGAGCGCAACCCUUAUCCUUGUUUGCCAGCACGUAAUGGUGGGAACUCCAGGGAGACUGCCGGUGAUAAACCGGAGGAAGGUGGGGACGACGUCAAAUCAUCAUGGCCUUUAUGCCUAGGGCGACACACGUGCUACAAUGGUGCAUACAGAGGGUAGCGAAGCCGCGAGGUGGAGCCAAUCUCAGAAAGUGCAUCCC
rnacentral:rRNA from 1 species